rnacentral:misc_RNA from 1 species
CGUUGAAGGUAGUUGCCAUUAUAUCUAUCCUUUUUUAGUAUAUUUCAAAUUCUAUCUGGGUUGAAAAAAGUUAAUUUGGUGGAAUUGUAAAGAAAUUAUUGUUUUCAAUUCAGUAGAGUACUUAUGUCCAUAAAUUUUAUAUCUCACAGUGGUUUCCCCAUGUGAGUGCCCAAGUUUGUGGGUUGAACAAUCUCAUCACACAAUUUCUAUCAAACUUGCUCUAUUACCUGCUUCAAGGUGAAUGGUUUGGAUGCUGUACUGAAGUUGUUGUACUUGUAAUCCUCACCCAUUUUCUACUGCUGCCAAAGGGUUUCUCUAUUUCUUCGUGUACCCUCCUAGUCUUUGCAGUGGCUUCCAUAGUAUAAUGUUUCUUUAUGCCAAAUUCACCACUUUGAAUUCAAAUUUCCCCUGGUCUGGCCCCCUCUUAUGUUGCUUUCCUGCUGAAUCUAGCAUCUUCAAUCAAACAAAUUUCAAGAUAAAUUCUUUCUAGUUUCUUCAAUCAGUUUUGCUGUCACAAAGGGAGUAGAAGCAGAUAGAAACCUGGCUGAUUGGAUGAGCCAACGAGGCUGUACAUUAAUGCCGUUUGCCCCCCUUAGAUAGAUUGCUAUUAAUAUUUUGAAUAUUUACCUUUUCCUGUUCUUUUUUGGCCAUUUCCAUAUUAUUCCAUGGUAAAUCUUUUUUAUCCUUGACAAAGAUUUAGUUUUUCAGUUUAUUUGAGAAGUUAGUUGAUUUCAUUCAUUCAGAUGACGUUAUGCAGAUUUUCAACAUCUUAUCUUUUAAUUUAGAAUGGAACAUUUAUAUUGAUAUUACUAAUGUAACAUGCAGCAAAUUUG